UACGUAGGGUGCAAGCGUUGUCCGGAAUUAUUGGGCGUAAAGAGCUCGUAGGCGGCCUGUCACGUCGACUGUGAAAACCCGAGGCUCAACCUCGGGCCUGCAGUCGAUACGGGCAGGCUAGAGUUCGGUAGGGGAGACUGGAAUUCCUGGUGUAGCGGUGAAAUGCGCAGAUAUCAGGAGGAACACCGGUGGCGAAGGCGAGUCUCUGGACAUUUCCUGACGCUGAGGCACGAAAGCUAGGGGAGCAAACAGG
rnacentral:rRNA from 1 species